rnacentral:rRNA from 1 species
UACGUAGGUGGCAAGCGUUGUCCGGAAUUACUGGGCGUAAAGGGCGCGUAGGCGGCCUGUUACGUCACACGUGAAAUCCCUCGGCUCAACCGGGGAACUGCGUGUGAUACUGGCGGGCUUGAAUUCGGGAGAGGGAUGUGGAAUUCCAGGUGUAGCGGUGAAAUGCGUAGAUAUCUGGAGGAACACCGGUGGCGAAGGCGGCAUCCUGGACCGGUAUUGACGCUGAACGGCGAAAGCUAGGGGAGCAAACGGG